GUUGUCGUGGCCGAGUGGUUAAGGCGAUGGACUAGAAAUCCAUUUGGGAUACCCGCGCAGGUUCGAAUCCUGCUGACAACG